rnacentral:rRNA from 1 species
GACAGAGGGGGCAAGCGUUGCUCGGAAUUACUGGGCGUAAAGGGCGCGUAGGCGGAAUGGCAAGUCGGUCGUGAAAUCCUUCGGCUCAACCGAAGAACGUCGAUCGAAACUGCCGUUCUUGAGGAUUGCAGAGGAGACUGGAAUUCCUGGUGUAGCGGUGGAAUGCGCAGAUAUCAGGAGGAACACCGAUGGCGAAGGCAGGUCUCUGGGCCACUACUGACGCUGAGAAGCGAAAGCAUGGGGAGCGAACAGG